GUACACUCCUGCGGGAGGCAGCAGUGGGGAAUAUUGCACAAUGGGCGCAAGCCUGAUGCAGCCAUGCCGCGUGUAUGAAGAAGGCCUUCGGGUUGUAAAGUACUUUCAGCGGGGAGGAAGGCGAUAAGGUUAAUAACCUUGUUGAUUGACGUUACCCGCAGAAGAAGCACCGGCUAACUCCGUGCCAGCAGCCGCGGUAAUACGGAGGGUGCAAGCGUUAAUCGGAAUUACUGGGCGUAAAGCGCACGCAGGCGGUCUGUCAAGUCGGAUGUGAAAUCCCCGGGCUCAACCUGGGAACUGCAUUCGAAACUGGCAGGCUAGAGUCUUGUAGAGGGGGGUAGAAUUCCAGGUGUAGCGGUGAAAUGCGUAGAGAUCUGGAGGAAUACCGGUGGCGAAGGCGGCCCCCUGGACAAAGACUGACGCUCAGGUGCGAAAGCGUGGGGAGCAAACAGGAUUAGAAACCCGUGUAGUCCCAUG
rnacentral:rRNA from 1 species